rnacentral:rRNA from 1 species
GAUGAACGCUGGCGGCGUGCCUAAUACAUGCAAGUCGAGCGAACGGACGAGAAGCUUGCUUCUCUGAUGUUAGCGGCGGACGGGUGAGUAACACGUGGAUAACCUACCUAUAAGACUGGGAUAACUUCGGGAAACCGUAGCUAAUACCGGAUAAUAUUUUGAACCGCAUGGUUCAAAAGUGAAAGACGGUCUUGCUGUCACUUAUAGAUGGAUCCGCGCUGCAUUAGCUAGUUGGUAAGGUAACGGCUUACCAAGGCAACGAUGCGUAGCCGACCUGAGAGGGUGAUCGGCCACACUGGAACUGAGACACGGUCCAGACUCCUACGGGAGGCAGCAGUAGGGAAUAUUCCGCAAUGGGCGAAAGCCUGACGGAGCAACGCCGCGUGAGUGAUGAAGGUCUUCGGAUCGUAAAACUCUGUUAUUAGGGAAGAACAUAUGUGUAAGUAACUGUGCACAUCUUGACGGUACCUAAUCAGAAAGCAACGGCUAACUACGUG